rnacentral:rRNA from 1 species
GUAGGUGGCAAGCGUUGUCCGGAAUUAUUGGGCGUAAAGCGCGCGCAGGCGGUUCUUUAAGUCUGAUGUGAAAGCCCACGGCUCAACCGUGGAGGGUCAUUGGAAACUGGAGAACUUGAGUACUGAAGAGGAAAGCGGAAUUCCACAUGUAGCGGUGAAAUGCGUAGAGAUGUGGAGGAACACCAGUGGCGAAGGCGGCUUUCUGGUCUGUAACUGACGCUGAGGCGCGAAAGCGUGGGGAGCAAACAGGAUUAGAUACCCUGGUAGUCCACGCCGUAAACGAUGAGUGCUAAGUGUUAGGGGGUUUUCCGCCCCCCUUAGUGCUGCAGCUAACGCAUUAAGCACUCCGCCUGGGAGUACGGCCGCAAGGCUG